AAGAGUUAUAACAACUCCCAAACCCAUGUGAACUUACCUUCUGUUGCCUCGGCAGGAUCGACCGCCGCGGGAGAGCCUACCCUGUAGGUGAUCCCGCCGGUGGCCGGCCAAGUCCUGCCGGCGGCCCACGAAACUCUGUUUAUUACAUGUCAUUCUGAAAUCAUAACUAAAUAAGUUA
rnacentral:misc_RNA from 1 species